rnacentral:rRNA from 1 species
GAUGAACGCUGGCGGCGUGCCUAAUACAUGCAAGUCGAGCGAACAGACGAGGAGCUUGCUCCUCUGACGUUAGCGGCGGACGGGUGAGUAACACGUGGAUAACCUACCUAUAAGACUGGGAUAACUUCGGGAAACCGGAGCUAAUACCGGAUAAUAUAUUGAACCGCAUGGUUCAAUAGUGAAAGACAGUUUUGCUGUCACUUAUAGAUGGAUCCGCGCCGCAUUAGCUAGUUGGUAAGGUAACGGCUUACCAAGGCAACGAUGCGUAGCCGACCUGAGAGGGUGAUCGGCCACACUGGAACUGAGACACGGUCCAGACUCCUACGGGAGGCAGCAGUAGGGAAUCUUCCGCAAUGGGCGAAAGCCUGACGGAGCAACGCCGCGUGAGUGAUGAAGGUCUUCGGAUCGUAAAACUCUGUUAUUAGGGAAGAACAAAUGUGUAAGUAACUAUGCACGUCUUGACGGUACCUAAUCAGAAAGCCACGCCUAACUACGUG